AUUGAACGCUGGCGGCAUGCCUUACACAUGCAAGUCGAACGGUAACAGGUCUUCGGAUGCUGACGAGUGGCGAACGGGUGAGUAAUACAUCGGAACGUGCCUAGUAGUGGGGGAUAACUACUCGAAAGAGUGGCUAAUACCGCAUGAGAUCUACGGAUGAAAGCAGGGGAUCGCAAGACCUUGUGCUACUAGAGCGGCCGAGGGCAGAUGAGGUCGUUAGUGGGAUAAAAGCUUACCAAGCCGACGAGCUGUAGCUGGUCUGAGAGGACGAUCAGCCACACUGGGACUGAGACACGGCCCAGACUCCUACGGGAGGCAGCAGUGGGGAAUUUUGGACAAUGGGCGCAAGCCUGAUCCAGCAAUGCCGCGUGCAGGAUGAAGGCCUUCGGGUUGUAAACUGCUUUUGUACGGAACGAAAAGCCCUGGGUUAAUACCCUGGGGUCAUGACGGUACCGUAAGAAUAAGCACCGGCUAACUACGUGCCAGCAGCCGCCGCGGUAA
rnacentral:rRNA from 1 species